UACGGAGGGGGCAAGCGUUAUUCGGAAUUAUUGGGCGUAAAGAGCUCGUAGGCGGUGUGUCGCGUCGGCCGUGAAAACCUGCAGCUUAACUGUGGGCUUGCGGUCGAUACGGGCAUCACUGGAGUUCGGCAGGGGAGACUGGAAUUCCUGGUGUAGCGGUGAAAUGCGCAGAUAUCAGGAGGAACACCGGUGGCGAAGGCGGGUCUCUGGGCCGAUACUGACGCUGAGGAGCGAAAGCGUGGGGAGCGAACAGG
rnacentral:rRNA from 1 species